ensembl:snoRNA
AGCCUUUUCGUGGUUCAUAAGCGUGAUGAUUGGGUUGUUCACACAGUUGUGUGAGAUGUGCCACCCUCGAAACUUUGUUACAAAUGGGUAUGGUUUUCCAUGUCACU